GAUAAAGUCAUCACGCCUGAUUGCAUUCGUAAGUUGCUAGAAUAGCUAUUAAACACAGUGGCAUUUCGAAAGUAAAUCAAUUGUUGAAUUAUAUGAUCAUCUUUUGCGAAAACCAUAUUAUUUUAUCUUUUAUAAUACAUACGUUACUUCCAAAAGAAGAUGAUUACGUCCUACGCGUCAUGAUAACAAGUUUAAAUCUGUGGGACGCGCAACGGACAAGUCUGCUUUUGGAUAUUUUUCGAGAAUCCUUGCCUGAACACAGUUCUGAAUGCUACCCAUCACGGGGGCAGCCAUCGUAGCCUUGGCCGAGUAGUUUGUCCCUGUCUAGACUGUACUUAAUGUAUUCGCUGACAAUGACAUUAGACACAAGCAUGCGUCUCUCUUAAGCAAUAGCGAGAAAACCUAUUAAUUCUUUUUGAAUACAAUCGCCAUCAACAAUUCCAACUCAAACACAUCAAUUCAGUGCCAGAGAUAUCUGCAUUUUCAUUACUGAAAUACCAAGAAAUCGAAGUUAAUUCAUACUGUUGCCAGUUCUCCGUCGAUACAAAUCAACGUUUUGACUCAGAUGGCAUGGGAAGAACUUUCUUACAUCUCUUCUAUCUUAAAUUGGUGAACAUGUUCAACCUUCUAUUUUAUCGAGCGCUAACACUGACUGCAACUCCUCAAGACGUAAAUACAUGUACCAAGGGGACUGCACUCCUCAAUCUUGUUUAAAGAAACUUUCCCAUAUAUCAAAUCGAAAGAUAGCUGGCAAUGAUUUGUCCUCCAAGACUUAAAAGAAAAAAAAACUUGUAUCAUAUUCUAAGCCUUUACUAAAUAUAAUGAUAUAUAUAUAUAUCUUUCGUGAUCGAAGACGAGCACAUUUCUCAUUUUCUAUGGACUCGAAGAUGACUUUAAAGUCUAAUCCUUGCUUUAAAAACCCGGCCCCAUACAUGGCAUGGAUGGGUUUGGUAUAUAAUGAUAACUACAAUAUCGUGCAAGUGAAAACAAAUUGUCAGAACUAACAUGCUAUAGAAUAUUGAAUCGCAAGCUAUAAUAAAGCGCACUUGGU